rnacentral:rRNA from 1 species
AUUGAACGCUGGCGGCAGGCCUAACACAUGCAAGUCGAACGAGUGGCGGACGGGUGAGUAAUGUCUGGGAAACUGCCUGAUGGAGGGGGAUAACUACUGGAAACGGUAGCUAAUACCGCAUACCAUCGGAUGUGCCCAGAUGGGAUUUGCUAGUAGGUGGGGUAAAGGCUCACCUAGGCGACGAUCCCUAGCUGGUCUGAGAGGAUGACCAGCCACACGGGAACUGCGACACGGCCCAGAGUCCUACGGGAGGCACCAGUGGGGAAUAUUGCACACUGGGCGCAAGUCUGAUGCAGCCAUGCCGAGUGUAUGAAGAAGGCCUUCGGGUUUUAAAGUACUUGCAGCGGGGAGACGGUACCCGCAGAAGAAGCACCGGCUAACUCCGUGCCAGCAGCCGCGGUAAUAC